UUGACAUGUGACACCGUUGAGAACUUGAGAUGUAUCACCGUCAUCCAGCGACGCCGCGUGAGGAAGUAGUGGUGGCCAUGGAAUGAGUGAAUGAAGCAGAAACCAAGGUUCACUCUCGUGGUCAGUUCUGGAAACUUUUCUAAAUUGGAGUUUUGACAGUUUUAGAGACCUGCUUCUAUAAAAGGAAGUGUAAUUCGAUGUGAAGGCUCUGUUCUGAACGCUGCAUUACUGAAGUGCUUGAUGCCAUGAAAGAUCAUUCUUCAUAAUUUCUACUACUUGGAAUUUAUGAGUACUUAUGAAGGCUCGUGUGCCUCGUGCUGACGGAGAUUUGGUUGGCAUUUUGCAAUAAGUUUCUCUGGACUUUCACUAUACUAUAGGUAGAUCUAUAUACUGUCCUUGAGAGGAUGAUAUUCUAAUGUAACAUUUGGAAAUUUUAGUUGCGUACUUACACUGAUUGCUGCAACUUUAGUUAUAAAUUGCUGUACCAAAAUUUUUUCUUUAUAAACUUUCUUACAAUAAACCAGUAUUACUCGUAUUGCUUAGCAUCGUUUAAGUGUAGUAUUUUAAGUGUCUUUUACAAAGUCUUUUACAAAUACAUUUGAGUAUCUUGGUUCUCAUAGAUUUUGUAUUUCUUAGCAUCCUACUAGUGGAUAUCUUAUUUACUAAGGUUUUUAAAUUCAUGUAUUUGAAAAACCACAGUAUUUGUCAAGAAAUCUGGCGUGCAAUAUGGGGUUUUAAAAUUCAAGUAUUCAAAAAACAAAAUUAGUCAAAUCUGGCGUGCCAUAUGUUUUAAACUUAAAAAUAUUCUCCAUUGUAAAAUUCAAGUUUGGAGAGUGUGCAACUAUGCACUAUUUUCUGGUUCUGACUGAAGAUUUGUCACAUUUGACGCAAGAUUGUCAAAUCAUCGUUUAUUCACUAUUGUAUUUGUUAUUUUCUAUGUAAAGAUUUUUAUAAAUUGAUAACUAAAUACUUUCUAAC